rnacentral:rRNA from 1 species
GUGAGGAAUAUUGCACAAUGGAGGAAACCCUGAUGCAGCAACGCCGCGUGGAGGAUGACGCAUUUCGGUGUGUAAACUCCUUUUAUCAGAGAAGAAAAUGACGGUAUCUGAUGAAUAAGCUCCGGCUAACUCCGUGCCAGCAGCCGCGGUAAUACGGAGGGAGCAAGCGUUAUUCGGAAUCACUGGGCGUAAAGGACGCGUAGGCGGGUUUUUAAGUCAGGUGUGAAAUCCUAUGGCUCAACCAUAGAACUGCACUUGAAACUGGGGACCUAGAGUAUGGAAGGGGCAGGUGGAAUUAGUGGUGUAGGGGUAAAAUCCGUAGAUAUCACUAGGAAUACCGAAAGCGAAGGCGACCUGCUGGGACAUUACUGACGCUGAGGCGUGAAAGCGUGGGGAGCAAACAGGAUUAGAUACCCUGGUAGUCCACGCCCUAAACGAUGAAUGCUAGUCGUCGGGGAGCUUGUCUCUUCGGUGAUGCACUUAACAGAUUAAGCAUUCCGCCUGGG